rnacentral:tRNA from 1 species
GCGGGCAUAGUUCAGCGGUAGAAUGUUGGCUUCCCAAGCCGAAGAUCGUGGGUUCGAAUCCCAUUGCCCGCU